UACGUAGGGUCCGAGCGUUGUCCGGAUUUAUUGGGCGUAAAGAGCUCGUAGGCGGCUCAGUAAGUCGGAUGUGAAAACUCGGGGCUCAACCCCGAGACGCCAUCCGAUACUGCUGUGGCUUGAAUCUGGUAGGGGAGCACGGAAUUCCUGGUGUAGCGGUGAAAUGCGCAGAUAUCAGGAGGAACACCGGCGGCGAAGGCGGUGCUCUGGGCCAGUAUUGACGCUGAGGAGCGAAAGCGUGGGUAGCAAACAGG
rnacentral:rRNA from 1 species